UACAGAGGUCCCGAGCGUUGUUCGGAUUCACUGGGCGUAAAGGGUGCGUAGGUGGCAUAGAAAGUUUGAUGUGAAAGCUCAGGGCUUAACCCUGAAAUGGCAUUGAAUACUGCUGUGCUGGAGGUUUGGAGGGGGGACUGGAAUUCUUGGUGUAGCAGUGAAAUGCGUAGAUAUCAAGAGGAACACCAGUGGCGAAGGCGAGUCCCUGGACAACACCUGACACUGAGGCACGAAAGCUAGGGGGAGCAAACAGGG
rnacentral:rRNA from 1 species